rnacentral:lncRNA from 1 species
AGGCUAUCCCAAAAAGGAUAAGGAAAUACAUGAUAAAUUAGCAAUAGAUUCUUGGCAGACAACACGGAAAAACACGAACUAGAAAAUUUAAUAAAUUGAAGUAUAUGAACUGCAAGACCUCAUCAGUUUGUCUAAGAAAUAGCAUGCAGAAGUGGGCUAAAUAGAAAAUAAGCAGAGGUGAAACAAAGACAAAGAAUGAUUAAAUGGUUUUCCAAUUGCACACACAAGCAAGAAAAGAAGUUACAUUUAUGUGUGAAUGUGCACAGGCAUGCAUUAAUACAAGUUACUUUUUUUGGAACUUUUUGGCAGGUAAUCCACAUUUCUACAUGGGAAUGUGCUAAAUGUAGUUACUUUUUUUUGAACUUUUCUGCAGGUAAUCCACAUUUCUACAUGGGAAUGUGCUAAAUGUUCCUGGUCAGAACUGCAUUUUUUCUUACUUUGGACAAAUGGCAUCAAAAUCAUUGUUAAGGAACACACCUACUCGGACAAAUGAGAUCAAAAUAAUUAUAAUGGACAAUACCAAAUUAAUUUUACAAGUCAAAGCUUUUAUGCCAUUGUGAAAUUUUGUGUGGAAUCCAUUCAUUAUCAAUUAUUCUUCAGAUCCAUGUUGCUUACACAAACC